UUAUUGGAGAGUUUGAUCCUGGCUCAGGACGAACGCUGGCGGCGUGCUUAACACAUGCAAGUCGAGCGGUAAGGCCCUUCGGGGUACACGAGCGGCGAACGGGUGAGUAACACGUGGGUAACCUGCCCUGUACUCUGGGAUAAGCCUUGGAAACGAGGUCUAAUACCGGAUAUGACACUGAACUGCAUGGUUUGGUGUGGAA
rfam:Lentzea albidocapillata strain DSM 44073 genome assembly, contig: LX89DRAFT_scaffold00014.14